UAAUUUCCUGGCUGAAUAUUAUGCCCUUAAACUCUGUUCUUUAAUAGUGUACGUCAAAUACCUCAUUUUCUGUUAUUUCUCUUUUAUAGAGACAGCAUUUUAUGCAUUGAAGAGAAUGCAAAAAAAGAAACGAAAAAUUGUUGAUCGCCGUGCCUCAAAAAGCCGCAAGAUAAGGUAUAAUGCUCAUGAAAAGAUAGUAAACUUUAUGGCCCCUCAACCGAUGAAUCUUCCUCCUAAGGAUCCAAAGUUAUUUGAGAAUUUGUUCGGAUUGAAGACUCAAAGAUCAUCUACUGCAGCCUCAUAAUCAUGGUUGGCAAACAGAAACAUAUGUUGUAUCAAUUUUCCAACACUACCAAAGGAAAUUUAAUUUCUUGCCCGUGCAGGCCAAAAUUUUGCUCUAUGUACUCCAUAUCUAUUCAGGAUAGAUGUGCCUAAGAGAUUUUGAUUAAUUUAAGCUAGCUUAUGUUGUUUU